UGUAAGCGUAUACCAAAGUUGUUGCAGUUAAAACGCUCGUAGUCGGAAUUUGGCGGUUCCGGAUGUGUGCACGUCGUGUGCGCACUUCGCGGGGAUUGCUUUUGUGGUCUUGCGUAGGAUGAGGCACUUUUAUUAGUGAACGUCCUCACGCAACCACUUUUUACUGUGAGAAAAUCAGAGUGCUCAAAGCAGGCAUUUGCCGUGAAUGUAUUAGCAUGGAAUAAUAGAAUAGGACUUGGUUCUAUUUUGUUGGUUUGUUGGGACUGAGUAAUGAUUAAGAGGGACAGUUGGGGGCAUUUGUAUUUCGGUGCUAGAGGUGAAAUUCUUAGAUUACCAAAAGACAAACUGCUGCGAAAGCGUCUGCCAAGGAUGUUUUCAUUGA
rnacentral:rRNA from 1 species